UACAGAGGUGGCAAGCGUUGUUCGGAAUUACUGGGCGUAAAGGGCGCGUAGGCGGUCUUGUAAGUCCCGUGUGAAAUCCCUCGGCUCAACUGAGGAACCGCACGGGAAACUGCUUGGCUUGAGUUCGGGAGAGGGAAGUGGAAUUCCGGGUGUAGCGGUGAAAUGCGUAGAUAUCAGGAGGAAUACCUGUGGUGUAGACGGCUCUCUGGACCGCAACUGACGCUGAGACACGAAAGCGUGGGUAGCAAACAGG
rnacentral:rRNA from 1 species